ACUGGAAGGCUGAAGAAUAAACUACAGAACCAACAGGAUUGUGAAGACUUUUGGCUGCUGUUUCCACUGGGCUGUAAUAGUUAACAGCUCAAAAGAAAACCUGAGGAUACAAAAUCAAAAAUUGAGUUUCUUACCUGCUUGGUGGUAGUUGAAUAUUUAGGCAGUUUAGUUGGGGGGAGGAGGGAAAGGAAUCCCCAAACCAAAGCUGACUGUAAAAAGUGAGAGCAAGAAGGCAGCAAGAAAAGAAGCCAGAUCUUUAAGUGUUGUAGGAGUGUGUAACUCAUUAGCAUCAAUGGAUCAGUGCUCAUUUGUGUCACUUGAGAAUCAAGCCCAGUAAUAUGGUGUUGUCCCUUUAGUGUAAUUCUUCUCUCACUCUGUUUUUACUGAUUGUUAAACCAAAAGCAUCCCAGUCUCUAGAAAAAGGAAAACUGAACUGCAUUUUGAAAAGACACAUGAAAUUCUAAAUCCAAACUAAUCCAAUCUUUCAAUUAUUUAAAUAAAAAGCUUCUGUGACAGAAUACGUAGAGAGUCUGAUUAAUUUGCCCAACAAGUGGUUUUCAUGACUGACUGUGCUACAGCAUGAUUAUUCAAGGACAUUAUUCUUUGGGUUAGCAUGACAAAUACCUUGACUUUUGGUUUUGACAAUUUAUGUAUCACUUGCUCAUUCUGAUCCUUUUAAAAGUUAUUGAAAUAAGGAGAUCUAGUUCCUGGCUUUUUGCUAUUUUGCUUCUGCCUUAAACUUUCCCUAUUUUUUUGUUUUUUUUCACAUCUGUGUGUUGGUAUGUACCCUAAUUUUUACAACAAUCCUGCAAAUAUGGACUUGGUUUACCUCAGCUCUUUUAAUAAUCUAAAUUUGCCUGUUGAAUGAAGGCUACCAGAUAUAUGAAAUAAGAGUGGUGUCUUCCAAAACUUUGCCUUCUGGUGGCUUUGUAAGAUCCAUUAUGGAGCAGCUGGCCCUGGUUUCUCUGAGCAAAGGACGUGAGCAGCUGAAAAAGCACCCAGCCAGACUGGUGGGAUCAACACCCUGUCAAGAGCCACCUCAUUCUCGUAAACACACAAAGCCCCAGAAAGAAACGGAGCAAAUGUUUCCUAUGCAAAGCCACACCAUGCCAGCUCUGACUUCAGGCUGGAGAAGACCACCCUGCAGUUCUCACUGUUGCAGACAAUGAGGUCCAUUCUGGUUCCCACUGAUGUCUCUUGAAGAGAUGUCCAGCUACCUCAGAGCUUCACUGAGUGGCACAACCAUCUGCUGAAGCACUCUCAGAAGCAUCAUGC
rnacentral:lncRNA from 1 species